rnacentral:rRNA from 1 species
GGAGAGAGCAAGUGGCUCAACUUGCUGACAUGAAACAAGGUAACCCAGUCAGACACGGCACUUGACUUAGCUAGCUAGCUACAAAUUGGAGUCCAGCUAGCAUUGAUCCACUUCUCUUUCUCUCUCUUCCCGUGCAACUUCGAUCCCCAUUUCUCUUCCCGUGCAAAUCUGGCUGCCGGGGAGGCAUUGAGGAGGGAAGGAGGCAGCAGCGUACGUGCGAGCGCCGCAAGCCACAGCCAGGGCUGGCCGACCGACGGCAGCCACGUCGCUGGUCGCCCCUUGCUCAGCCGGUCAGCCCAGAGUGGCAACGGCGCAACCGCAAUCGCAACUCCGUCGCUGAGUCGCCGUCCGUCCGCUCGUGAGACGCAGAGGACGCGAGCAACCCAGCAGGUAGGGUCUUCAGACACUCGGUGCUGUGCAGGUCAUCAGGCCAAAUUUGGAUUUCACGACUGGAGUUUGGUCUGUAUAGCAGUUUCCAACUUCUUGCUUGUUCUGCAUAUCGCUAUCACCCCACAGGCACGUAUCAAAACCUUGUAUCAUAUAUUAUCGUUGAGUUUUGAUACAUCAGUCAGACUUAUCAGAUUUCGUGCAAGCUCAAUUGGUCAUUUGAGGGAGGUCAACUAGGAAAGAAAGCAGUUCUUCCUGUAAAAUAUAGACAUUGAUUUUCUUCUUCAGGUAACCAUUUGGGUUCAUUCUCUACCAGAGAAAGGAAUAACAUGGACGAUGUAAGUGCAGUGCCAAGGGUUAUGUCGUUCCAGUUAUUAAAUGAAAUUACAAAAAAUUUCUCUACGGAAAUGAAAAUUGGCGCUGGAUCAUUCGGAAAUGUUUAUAAGCAUACAGAUGGGGAAUGGAUUGCUGUGAAGCUGCUUCAUAAUUACAUUCCAGGACUUGAAGAUGAGCAAUUUGAGAAGGAGUAUCACAAUCUCGCAAAUCUGCAACACAACAAUAUUGUGCGGUUAGUUGGCUAUAGUCAUGAAACUCGGCGAGAAUUCCUACCUUAUAAUGGUGACCUGGUCUUGGCUGACAUUACACAGAGAGCACUUUGCUUUGAAUAUAUGCAAAAUGGAAGCCUUGACAAAUUUCUUACUGAUGAAUCUAAGGGACAUGAUUGGCGCACACGCUAUGCAAUAAUUAAAGGAAUUUGUCAGGGUUUGAAAUAUCUUCAUGAGGAAUUGCAAACUCCAAUGUAUCAUUUGGAUUUAAAACCAGCCAAUGUACUGCUAGAUGAAAAUAUGGUGCCCAAAAUCGCGGAUUUUGGCUUGUCAAGGCUCUUCGGAGGAGAACAGUCAAAAUUCACAAAAAGUGACAUAGGAACACGUGGGUAUGUACCACCGGAAUAUAUAGACGCCUGUAUAAUCUCCAUUAAGUUUGACAUAUUCAGUUUGGGUGUGGUAAUUAUAAAGAUAAUGGCAGGACCAACGGCAUACUUUCGAAGUGCUGAAAUGUCUCCCCAAGAAUUCAUAGAGAUUGUACAUGCUUACUGGAACACUAAGCUACAAACAACACUGGUUCACGCAUUGGAGCCAUAUUCCAAACAAGUAAAGAGAUGCAUAGAAAUAGCUUUAAAUUGUGUGGAUGCAGAUCGACACAAAAGACCAAGUAUAGGGGAAAUCAUUAAUGUUUUGAAUGAGAUGGAGACUGCAAUACAAGUCCCUGGCGCUUCAAUGAAUCACACAGGAUCAUCGAUGAACAAGAUAAAUAGCGACCAGGAAAGAGAGUUCCUAAUUAGGGAUGCAAAGGAAACGCUGGAUUAUGUACAUCGAGGACAAGGGAACACAUCAUUCGAGGACUGCCGACAAACUCACAUAGCAGAACUAGAAGAACAAGAGAGGAAAAGACUGAGCACGGCGGUGAAUAUCUUUGGUGAAGUAGUUGACAACUACAAGUUGGAUCAAAUGCCAGAGUACAUGGGGAAACCUAAGAAGCGGGAAGACCGAGCACGCGAGGCCUUGAAUCUGAUGUGCGAAGACCGCAAAGAUGUCAUGGCUUGCAGGUACUUGUGUCCCAAGGUAAUCAUCCAAGUCUAUUGGCCGCGGGCCACGCAGUGCUUCAUCUAUAACGCGACCGGCGACACCCUCUACCACGUCGGCAACCAUGACUGGUCUGGGCAUAUCCUCAAUGGCAGGGGCUACCCUGAACGGAUUGGCAAUGGGCAGUGGGCUGCCUUCGUUCACUGCCAAGGGUCAUUUUCAGGUUCGAUGGCAUCGGUUAUCUACCGUGGCAAGAACAAAGAUGGUGGAGACCAGCACUACCUGGUUUCCUGGAGUAACCCAAUUAGAUAUACUUUUGGGUCCAACAAGGCUUAUUGCGGGAUCGGCCCUGUAGACUACUUCCAUACACGUUGGGAUCAUACACACGAGAACCUUUCAAAUUCAGAUAACUAUUCAUACGCCAAGUCUGACGGAUGCGAGAUUGAUUCAAAAAUUGGCAAGCGUGAUGCCCCAUUUUUUACUGCAAAGAUCACCUCACUGGUUGGUCAUCUCCAGCAUUGUGCAAGGAUCUAUAUGGAUAAAUAGAUAGUCAGUUAAUUCCGUUUGUGAUGCCGAAUGGUGGUAUUCUUACGAUCACUUGUAAUGGAGUUAACUUUUUCCCAUGUCAUCGUUGACGGGUGGGCCACCUCUGUCAUAAUCGCAAUAAAUUUCGUCGAAACUGGCAACUAAUCUGAAGUGGUAGUAAUAUGCGACGAAUUAUCC